GGUAAACGCUGGCGGCGUGCCUAAAACAUGCAAGUCGAACGGCGCACCUUCGGGUGUGCAGUGGCAGACGGCUGAGUAACGCGUGGGUGACCUGCCGCACGGUGGGGGAUACCGGCCCGAAAGGGUCGCUAAGACCGCAUACGCACCUAGUCGCACGGGUAGGUGGAAAACCGCAAGGUGCCGAGCGAGGGGCCCGCGUUCGAUUAGCUGGUUGGUGGGGUAACGGCCUACCAAGGCGACGAUCGAUAGCUGGUCUCAGCGGAUGAUCAGCCAGACU
rnacentral:rRNA from 1 species